rnacentral:tRNA from 1 species
AAGAAGUUAGUCUAAAAUAAGACUACUAAUUUCGGCCUAGUUAAUUGUGAAUUAUACCACAACUUCUUU